AUUGAACGCUGGCGGCAGGCCUAACACAUGCAAGUCGAACGGUAACAGGAAGAAGCUUGCUUCUUUGCUGACGAGUGGCGGACGGGUGAGUAAUGUCUGGGAAACUGCCUGAUGGAGGGGGAUAACUACUGGAAACGGUAGCUAAUACCGCAUAACGUCGCAAGACCAAAGAGGGGGACCUUCGGGCCUCUUGCCAUCGGAUGUGCCCAGAUGGGAUUAGCUAGUAGGUGGGGUAACGGCUCACCUAGGCGACGAUCCCUAGCUGGUCUGAGAGGAUGACCAGCCACACUGGAACUGAGACACGGUCCAGACUCCUACGGGAGGCAGCAGUGGGGAAUAUUGCACAAUGGGCGCAAGCCUGAUGCAGCCAUGCCGCGUGUAUGAAGAAGGCCUUCGGGUUGUAAAGUACUUUCAGCGGGGAGGAAGGGAGUAAAGUUAAUACCUUUGCUCAUUGACGUUACCCGCAGAAGAAGCACCAGCUAACUCCGUGCCAGCAGCCGCGGUAAUACGGAGGGUGCAAGCGUUAAUCGGAAUUACUGGGCGUAAAGCGCACGCAGGCGGUUUGUUAAGUCAGAUGUGAAAUCCCCGGGCUCAACCUGGGAACUGCAUCUGAUACUGGCAAGCUUGAGUCUCGUAGAGGGGGGUAGAAUUCCAGGUGUAGCGGUGAAAUGCGUAGAG
rnacentral:rRNA from 1 species